UACAUGGGGUGCAAACGUUGCUCGGAAUUAUUGGGCGUAAAGCGCACGUAGGCGGUUCGUUAAGUCGGAUGUGAAAGCCCUCGGCUCAACUGAGGAAGUGCACCCGAAACUGGCGAGCUUGAGUACGAAAGAGGAUCGCGGAAUUCCCGGUGUAGAGGUGAAAUUCGUAGAUAUCGAGAGGAACACCGGUGGCGAAGGCGGCCAACUGGACAGAUACUGACGCUGAGACACGAAAGCGUGGGGAGCAAACAGG
rnacentral:rRNA from 1 species